CAAUAGCGUAUAUUAAAGUUGUUGCAGUUAAAAAGCUCGUAGUUGAAUUUCUGUACAGUCCCAAUUUUGGCUUCGGUCAGGUUGUGGAUUGUGCAUCCGCUUGCAAAUCUAGUUCGGCAUUAACUUGUUGGCUAGGGGAGUAAGCUUUUUACUUUGAAAAAAUUAGAGUGUUUCAAGCAGGCAAUGGCUCGAAUACAUUAGCAUGGAAUAAUGGAAUAGGACUUUUGUCCAUUUGAUUGGUUAUUGGACUUAGGUAAUGAUUAAAAGGGACAGUUGGGGGCAUUAGUAUUUAAUUGUCGGAGGUGAAAUUCUUGGAUUUAUUAAAGACUAACUUAUGCGAAAGCAUUUGCCAAGGAUGUUUUCAUUAA
rnacentral:rRNA from 1 species